rnacentral:rRNA from 1 species
GACAGAGGUGCCGAGCGUUAGGCGGAAUCACUGGGCUUAAAGCGUGUGUAGGCGGGCGAUCAAGUACCUUGUGAAAUCCCACGGCUCAACCGUGGAACCGCUGGGUAUACUGGUUGUCUUGAGCCGGCUAGGGGCGAGCGGAACAGACGGUGGAGCGGUGAAAUGCGUAGAUAUCACUUGGAACGCCAAUGGUGAAAACAGCUCGCUGGGGGUGUGCUGACGCUGAGACACGAAAGCCAGGGGAGCAAACGGG